rnacentral:snRNA from 1 species
GGAUGUCUGGGCGAUCUGGCUGAGGCAUCCGUCACCUCAUUGACUACCAGGGUUGAUUCAGAUGAUCUGGUUGGCUAGGUUGAUGCCCCCUUCCUCUGUCACCAUUCCCUGUGUGUUUCUCCUGGAAGGAUGUGCUCCACUGAAGAGGAUGACCUUCCCUGAACAGAGAUCAACUGUUUGUUCUUCACUCUCUGGUUAAGUAUUGUUCAUCCUAUCUGAGUAGUUUCUUUCCUCUGCUAGAACCUGCAAACAAUCUAUAAAUAUCAAGGUUCAUUUGUAGAACAGAGAUUAGUGCUUCCAAGACUCUAGACAUAUUUUAAAAGAAAAGAAAAAUAAUAAAACACCUUA